rnacentral:rRNA from 1 species
ACGGGUGAGUAACGCGUGGGAACGUGCCUUCCGGUUCGGAAUAACCCUGGGAAACUAGGGCUAAUACCGGAUACGUCCUUAUGGGGAGAGGUUUACUGCCGGAAGAUCGGCCCGCGUCUGAUUAGCUAGUUGGUGGGGUAACGGCCUACCAAGGCGACGAUCAGUAGCUGGUCUGAGAGGAUGAUCAGCCACACUGGGACUGAGACACGGCCCAGACUCCUACGGGAGGCAGCAGUGGGGAAUAUUGGACAAUGGGCGCAAGCCUGAUCCAGCCAUGCCGCGUGAGUGAUGAAGGCCUUAGGGUUGUAAAGCUCUUUUAUCCGGGACGAUAAUGACGGUACCGGAGGAAUAAGCCCCGGCUAACUUCGUGCCAGCAGCCGCGGUAAUACGAAGGGGGCUAGCGUUGCUCGGAAUCACUGGGCGUAAAGGGCGCGUAGGCGGCGUUUUAAGUCGGGGGUGAAAGCCUGUGGCUCAACCACAGAAUGGCCUUCGAUACUGGGACGCUUGAGUAUGGUAGAGGUUGGUGGAACUGCGAGUGUAGAGGUGAAAUUCGUAGA